CGUCUCCUCGAGUUGAGCGCGAGAGACAGGAGAGUGCAAACCUGUCGGCGAUCCUUUCGUUCGUGCAUCCGACUGACUUUUCGGGUAGCGUGUGCGCGUUCGCGCAAUUACCACAGCACGAGAGACUGUUGUGCUUGUGGGAAAACAUAUUACACGCUUUGCCAUCAGUUGAAAAAUAAAGGAGGGAAAGCGAAAGACUGGUAAGGAACGAAGAAAACAAAGAAAGAAGAAGAAAGAGAGAGCGAGUGAGGUACACGUUGGAAAGAACUCAACUGGCAGCACUCGAGCGUGUGCGUGUGUGUGUGUGCGCGCGCGCGCUCUGUGGGAUAACUGCGAUCGGCCGACUCUGGUGACACGAGCCCAUGAACUCUUUCGCGAGUAACCGAAGAAUUCCUCCUCCUUUUGCUCCCCUCCAUUUUCCUUCCCGUACGUAUAAACUUAGACGAUUUCGCGCGUCUACGCGUCGUCUCUUUUCCUUUUCAUUUUCGUCGAGUCGUCCACGUUUCUCCACUCUGGUUACAUUUAAAGGGGAACUAUACGUAACAAAAAAAAACGAGAGAGAAAGAGAGAGAUUAAGGAAGAUAGAAUAUAAUCUUAAAUCGUGUAAAAGUUGUGAUUUCGCACGCGGCUUGACCGUUUCUGUAAUGGAGGAACAGUCAUCAGUGUGUGUUGUCGUCGCUAUCGUGCGUAAGGAGGACGGUUGCCACGGCGAUGAUCGUCGGUGUGGCUGAAACUGGAGGGAUUUUUUUUGUUCCUUUCGGAUCAACGUGCUGCCUGGCCGGCCGGCCGGGUGACCAACAAGGACAGUGUGAAAUUUUGAUAUGGGAUCGUCCAGGGUCUUCGACUCGGCUCGGCCUCGCAACUAUCUGUGACAACCACUGGCCGCUUUAAGUAGUGAGAGAGGAAGGAGAUACGUAGUUAAGCUAGGUACUUACAGGAGCAGAACGGAGAGAGAUAGAGAGUGCGUGAUGCAGAAGAGAGACGGCAGGGAUGGCCGCGAGAAGGAGCUUGGCCGUGGGUCCGAUCGCGAUCAGCAGGACGCGGCGAAAAGGGCCUCCCGUGGUAGUGGAAACGCCACGAGGUCCAACGUCCAUUCUUCGAGGCAUAGUGUCACCUCUUCGUCCGCUGUCCUGAUGGUCGGCCCGAACUUUCGGGUCGGCAAGAAAAUUGGCUGUGGUAACUUCGGGGAACUUCGACUUGAAACGCGCCUUAAAAGUGGGUCAUUUACCGGUGGGACGUCGUCGAUAAAACAAAAUGGAGCCAGGCGAGCGCGUCGAGUCGGUACGGGUUCUUUUGCGAAUCUAACCGAAACACCUGGCUAAUCUCUUCUAUAUGCACUUUUCUUCCGUUUCUUCCCAUCUUACCGCCAGCCUCGCCUUUCGAAUGAGUAUGU
rnacentral:lncRNA from 1 species